UCCGAGCGACUCCGUGUCUUGGGUCAGGAUCUGCAUGAGCUCCAGCUCCCAAGAACUGAAGCAAUUGCAAACCAGCCUGGUUCCACCACAAGGCUGAGGGGGCUGGGCACGGAAGGUGAAGGCUGAUCUUGGCUGUCAAUCUGAAUGAACUGAGACCACCUAGAAAAUUGGCAAAGCACACCCCUGCAUGUCUGGGAGAGCGUUUCCAGGGAAGACCGGCAUCGACCAUGCCCAUGGUCCUUUCAGGACCCCAGGAGAGACGUUCUGUGCUGUGGAACGUCUCCUUGCUCCCAUCCUGCAGCGCGCUGGGGCAUCUAUCUUCAGAAUGAAGACGAGGCCACAACCCAGAAACUUCCUGUGCCCAGGAACAAGCAGGCUGGAAGCUGCCCUGCUCUGUGUGCACAGGGACUCCAUGUGAGACAGAGGCUGACUCUUGUGCCAGGACACAGCUCUCAUGACUCUGCCUUCCGGCUUCAGUACUUGCUGAGGAGCCAGCCCAGCAUAACUGUCUCCUGAGAGGCUUCGUCAAGCAGCGAAUGGAGGCAAAUGCCGAGACCCACAGCCAAACAUCCGGCAGAGCCCAGUAUGGAAGGGCUGGGAACAGAUGUGAGCAAGCCAGAGGGCUCACGGACACCACAAGAAGACCUACAGAGUCAGCUAACCUGGGCCCAGAGAGGCUCACAGAGACUGAACCACCAGCCAAAGAGCAUGCAUGGCUGGACCUAGACCCCCUACAUAUUUAGAGCAGAUGCACAGCUUAGUCUCCAUGUGGGUCCCCUAACAGGUGGGGCAGGGGCUGACUCUGACUCUGUGGCUUCCCUUCCGACCUUUUCCUCUUUGCCUUGUCUGGCCUCCCUGGGGGAGGAUGCACCUAGUCCUGCUGUG